rnacentral:misc_RNA from 1 species
UGUGGGAGCGGGCUUGCCCGCGAUGGCGCCGUGACAGUCAGCCUUAAUGUCGACCGGUAUGGCCCUAUCGCGGGCAAGCCCGCUCCCACA